rnacentral:rRNA from 1 species
CCCUUAGAUGUUCUGGGCCGCACGCGCGCUACACUGAUGCAUUCAACGAGUUUCUUCCUGGUCCGAGAGGAAUGGGUAACCUUUUGAAAGUGCAUCGUGAUAGGGAUAGACUAUUGCAAUUAUUGGUCUUCAACGAGGAAUUCCUAGUAGACGUAGUUCAUCAGACUGCAUCGAUUACGUCCCUGCCCUUUGUACACACCGCCCGUCGCUCCUACCGAUUGAAUGCUCGGGUGAGCCAUUCGGACUUUCAUCAUGCUGGUUUCCAGUUUUGAUGAAGGAAAGUCUUGCGAACCUUAUCAUUUAGAGGAAGGAGAAGUCGUAACA